CCCGAUGACUAGUCUUGUGGCGACCAUUACCGUUACUGAAACCCAUUACUCAACAGUCAUGACGACCACAAGAGAACAAACGGAUGAGUAUGAAGUUUACACAGAUAACGACUCCUCUGAAGAGUCGGAGAGGGACUAUGAUAUUCCCCCACGUAGAAGGAGAGACGAAAACCAGGGCCGAGAUUCCCAACACCAUGCUAGACAAAACAAUCCCGAGUCCCGAGGACCUACACAUCAGGAAUAUGAGGCCAGAAUUCG
rnacentral:lncRNA from 1 species